AACGAACGCUGGCGGCGUGGCUAAGGCAUGCAAGUCGAACGAACAUAUCCCAAGGGCAACUGAGGGGUAUGUUAGUGGCGAACGGGUGAGGAAUACAUGGACAACGUACCCUGGACACGGGGAUAGCGGCGGGCCGCAAGGCUCUUUAGCGAAAGUGCCGGUAAUACCCGAUGAUCCCGUAUGAUCGCAUGAUCGUGCGGGCAAAGCUCCGACGGUCUGGGAUCGGUUCANGCCCUAUCAGCUAGUUGGUGAGGUAACGCUCACCAAGGCGGCGACGGGUACCGGCGUGAGAGCGUGACCCGGCACAUCGGAACUGAGAUACGGUCCGGACACCGUACGGGUGGCUGCAGCAACGAAUAUUCCGCAAUGGACGCAAGUCUGACGGAGCGACGCCGCGUGUAGGAUGAAGUCC
rnacentral:rRNA from 1 species